GCCAGUGUGGUGUAGUGGUUUGAGCCUUGGACUAUGACUCUGAAGACCAGGAUUCAAAUCCCCGCUCAGCCC
rnacentral:tRNA from 1 species